rnacentral:lncRNA from 1 species
CCAUCUCUGGCAGAAAGAACAAGGAUAUCAGCACAGGAAACAACUCCAGGGCACUCCCUUUCCACGGCUUCUUUAAUGGUCUCAAUGUACCUAAAGUUCCUCAGCCCAAAGCUCCUAUCAGUUUCCUUCUCAGACAAGCUCCUUCUUGUUGAAUCCAGCAACAGUGAAGCAUCACAUCUCUAACCUCAUCAAAAACAUUCUAGUAAUUAGUUAAAGGGACAGUAUAGCAAAUACUAAAAACUAAUGGAAGUCAAGGUUGGUGUUACCUGAACAGCACAAUCAUGGAAAAUGUUCCUGAGCCAGGAGAAAGCAGUGUUCUUGUGACGCUUGUAAAGAAGCUUCACUUGUUCUGUGAUAACUUCUUCAGCCUGAGGACAUGUUUCCUUGUAAUAGUUCAUAACAAGACCAGGAUUUUGCUCUUCUUCUGCAAAAACAGGACUCAGCAGGGACACUGCUGAAAAGGAUAAUAGAACCAAAAACAUGAAAACUCUUGGACCCAUUUCUCUCUCCUCUCACUACUAACUAUGCUCACUCACCUACUUUACUCCCCUCUCUGCUACUUCUUAAAUAACCAAAUACCGCAGUAUCAAGAUAAAUGUGCUACCAGUCAAAUAUUCAAAAUGCAACUUGGUGUAUAGCGGUAACCAACCCAUUGCAGAAUGUUUAUUUUAGUUAUUAAAACAACGAAAAUUAUGGAAAUUAUCAAAUGAUAAUCAAAAUAUCACAUGUUCAAUUCAUUGUAAGCGAGGAUAACAACAGAAUUCGAAAAAGAUUAGUUAUUUAUCCUAAUAAAAAAUAUGGAAUUAUGGCUUUUAGAAUUUAAAUAGUUGCUGUUAGUGAAGGAAAAUAUAUAGUUACUGAAAUUGUGCAUAAGAAACAAUAACCCAGAAGGUUAUUUAUCAAAAAAUACAGUAACUUAACAAGAACUCAAAAAGUUACACCAAAAAACAUGAUAAAAUAGUUUUUUUGGGUACACUUCUAAUACUUCUUUUGUUCAUACGUAACUAACUUUACAUAGAAAUAAAAUUGGCCAUUUUGGGACCUUUUGUAAAUUUAGAGCUUCCGAGUUUCAGUUAAUGAAAUAUAAGUUUUGGAAUUUUCGAUUUUUAUCAAACGCUCACAGUGAUAGACAACGAAAUUUUACCGAUUAGUUACUUACUGGCCAUUAUAUAAGAAGUUUUGUUAUCCUAAUUUUGGGUUGAAAAAGAUGGGAAGUGGUGGGGUAGAAGCACUUACGGGAAAUGCUGAAAUUUAAUUUAGUUAUGCUCAUUUAUUAUUGAGUGUAACAUCUGGAAAAAAAUGUGAAUACUCAUUUAUUAUUGAGUGUAACAUCUAUACACGUGUCAAAGAUAGUGCAAACUUUUUGACUAAAAAAUGUAUACUAACCAUGUAAAAGUACAUCAUGCACAAUUCAUUUUUAUUGAUGAUUGACUUUUAAAUAUGAAUAUAUUUUUUUUACCUCUCUAUAUUGUUUGGAUGGAUGCCCCACCACUAUAUGUUUGCUUACGUGUUCUGAUAAGAAAGGCCUUCGGGUCUGGAAUGGAGUCGGGCACUUCUUAAGCAUGUGAGGAACAUGGUCUGGGUUGAUAACUGGGUCAACCUCUGGGUAUAAACGGUGCACCAACUUCACACAGUGUGUUCUACCAACACUGUGUGCUCCUGUUCAACACAACAAGAUCAAUAAUUAUGUAAGUUAAAAACUAUAAUUAAGACAUGUAUCAUGUAUGUAUAUGUUAUAAUGUUACACAUGUUAGUAUGUAUAAUGAAUCAUGUCAUGUUGACCCCACAUGUAUUUAUUGAAAGAGAAUAUGAUGGAUAAACUUUGGCAUUUUAAUCAAGGCCAUUCACGUGGGUAUGGGACGUUUUUGAAUUCAUGGCCAUCAUGAUAUUUUUUCAACGUCGACAAUACGGCACAAACAAACAACAUAAUUCAUGUCAACGGUGUUGCAGUGGGAAAGGAUCUCAUCACUGAAUCCAAUGACCAAUUUUAAUUUUUUAUAAUUAAUAUGACAUGUUUUUAUCAGUGCGGGAAUAGUAAUGAGCAGUUACCGAGCAAAGCAACAACGCCCGGGGUGUCAAUACCCAUGGCACCAAACUUGUGAAGAACAGAGGAAAUGGACUCAUUGUGGUCAGGGAGGUACUGUUCCACUACUUCAGCUCUGCUCCUUCUACCAUCCCUUCUUCCUGUUUUUAGAGCUAUAUGUGGACCUCCUAGCUGCAAGAAACAAACAUACCAAGUUAACAACACUCUUCAUUAACUAUAAUCUUAAGAUGGAUAAGGGAAUUACCGAAACAAUGCCAUCUCUGGCAGAAAGAACAAGGAUAUCAGCACAGGAAACAACUCCAGGGCACUCCCUUUCCACGGCUUCUUUAAUGGUCUCAAUGUACCUAAAGUUCCUCAGCCCAAAGCUCCUAUCAGUUUCCUUCUCAGACAAGCUCCUUCUUGUUGAAUCCAGCAACAGUGAAGCAUCACAUCUCUAACCUCAUCAAAAACAUUCUAGUAAUUAGUUAAAGGGACAGUAUAGCAAAUACUAAAAACUAAUGGAAGUCAAGG